CUUGUGGUUUGCCCACCUCGGCCUCCCAAAGUGCUGGGAUUACAGGCAUGAGCCACUGCUCCUGGGCCAUGUUUAUCUUUCUUAAAAAAUAAACUAUAUUGAUUCUGCAAAUUAAUAUUUUCCCAGAGACAGGAGAGGGAGAAAGAGAAAGAGCGUGAGAGCAAGAGAGAGAGAGAGAAACAGAAUGACUCAACCUUUACUCUCUAUACCAGUAGUCUUCAAGCUGAGGCUGUGUGCCCCAUUCUUAUUACUCUAUCUCAGUGGGUCUCAAUCCCGGCUACACAUUGGAAUCACUUGGAAAGCUUUAAAAAUAAAACCAAACCUGUGCUUGGGCUCCACCUAGGUGUUCACCACAGCUGUCACGAGUGCUGCUGGCUGCUGAUGCCUAGAAUCUCAGCACGGGAGCUGCCUUUGUCACAGACCUUGGUUCCCCAUUCAAUCGAGCACCUGUGCAGUUGCCCUGUGGUCUGGCAUCCCAGGCUCAGCAGUGACAGCUCCUGA
rnacentral:lncRNA from 1 species